GAUGAACGCUGGCGGCGUGCCUAAUACAUGCAAGUCGAGCGAACAGAUGAGGAGCUUGCUCCUCUGACGUUAGCGGCGGACGGGUGAGUAACACGUGGAUAACCUACCUAUAAGACUGGGAUAACUUCGGGAAACCGGAGCUAAUACCGGAUAAUAUAUUGAACCGCAUGGUUCAAUAGUGAAAGACGGUUUUGCUGUCACUUAUAGAUGGAUCCGCGCCGCAUUAGCUAGUUGGUAAGGUAACGGCCUACCAAGGCAACGAUGCGUAGCCGACCUGUGAGGGUGGUCGGCCACACUGGAACUGAGACACGGACCAGACUCCUACGGGAGGCAGCAGUAGGGAAUCUUCCGCAAUGGGCGAAAGCCUGACGGAGCAACGCCGCGUGAGUGAUGAAGGUCUUCGGAUCGUAAAACUCUGUUAUUAGGGAAGAACAAAUGUGUAAGUAACUAUGCACGGCUUGACGGUACCUAAUCAGAAAGCCACGGCUAACUACGUG
rnacentral:rRNA from 1 species